rnacentral:rRNA from 1 species
GGGUUGUGAGGUUAAGCGACUAAGCGUACACGGUGGAUGCCCUGGCAGUCAGAGGCGAUGAAGGACGUGCUAAUCUGCGAAAAGCGUCGGUAAGGUGAUAUGAACCGUUAUAACCGGCGAUGUCCGAAUGGGGAAACCCAGUGCAAUUCGUUGCACUAUCGUUAACUGAAUACAUAGGUUAACGAGGCGAACCGGGGGAACUGAAACAUCUAAGUACCCCGAGGAAAAGAAAUCAACCGAGAUUCCCCCAGUAGCGGCGAGCGAACGGGGAGCAGCCCAGAGUCUGAAUCAGCUUGUGUGUUAGUGGAACGGUCUGGAAAGUCCGACGGUACAGGGUGAUAGUCCCGUACACCAAAAUGCACAGGCUGUGAACUCGAAGAGUAGGGCGGGACACGUGGUAUCCUGUCUGAAUAUGGGGGGACCAUCCUCCAAGGCUAAAUACUCCUGACUGACCGAUAGUGAACCAGUACCGUGAGGGAAAGGCGAAAAGAACCCCGGCGAGGGGAGUGAAAAAGAACCUGAAACCGUGUACGUACAAGCAGUGGGAGCACCUUCGGGUGUGACUGCGUACCUUUUGUAUAAUGGGUCAGCGACUUAUAUUCUGUAGCAAGGUUAACCGUAUAGGGGAGCCGCAGGGAAACCGAGUCUUAACUGGGCGUUAAGUUGCAGGGUAUAGACCCGAAACCCGGUGAUCUAGCCAUGGGCAGGUUGAAGGUUGGGUAACACUAACUGGAGGACCGAACCGACUAAUGUUGAAAAAUUAGCGGAUGACUUGUGGCUGGGGGUGAAAGGCCAAUCAAACCGGGAGAUAGCUGGUUCUCCCCGAAAGCUAUUUAGGUAGCGCCUCGUGAAUUCAUCUUCGGGGGUAGAGCACUGUUUCGGCUAGGGGGUCAUCCCGACUUACCAACCCGAUGCAAACUACGAAUACCGAAGAAUGUUAUCACGGGAGACACACGGCGGGUGCUAACGUCCGUCGUGAAGAGGGAAACAACCCAGACCGCCAGCUAAGGUCCCAAAGUCAUGGUUAAGUGGGAAACGAUGUGGGAAGGCACAGACAGCCAGGAUGUUGGCUUAGAAGCAGCCAUCAUUUAAAGAAAGCGUAAUAGCUCACUGGUCGAGUCGGCCUGCGCGGAAGAUGUAACGGGGCUAAACCAUGCACCGAAGCUGCGGCAGCGACACUAUGUGUUGUUGGGUAGGGGAGCGUUCUGUAAGCCUGCGAAGGUGACCUGUGAGGGUUGCUGGAGGUAUCAGAAGUGCGAAUGCUGACAUAAGUAACGAUAAAGCGGGUGAAAAGCCCGCUCGCCGGAAGACCAAGGGUUCCUGUCCAACGUUAAUCGGGGCAGGGUGAGUCGACCCCUAAGGCGAGGCCGAAAGGCGUAGUCGAUGGGAAACAGGUUAAUAUUCCUGUACUUGGUGUUACUGCGAAGGGGGGACGGAGAAGGCUAUGUUAGCCGGGCGACGGUUGUCCCGGUUUAAGCAUGUAGGCUGGUUGUCCAGGCAAAUCCGGAUAAUCAAGGCUGAGGUGUGAUGACGAGGCACUACGGUGCUGAAGUAACAAAUGCCCUGCUUCCAGGAAAAGCCUCUAAGCAUCAGGUAACAU